GACGAACGCUGGCGGCGUGCUUAACACAUGCAAGUCGAACGGAAAGGCCCUGCUUUUGUGGGGUGCUCGAGUGGCGAACGGGUGAGUAACACGUGAGUAACCUGCCCUUGACUUUGGGAUAACUUCAGGAAACUGGGGCUAAUACCGGAUAGGAGCUCCUGCUGCAUGGUGGGGGUUGGAAAGUUUCGGCGGUUGGGGAUGGACUCGCGGCUUAUCAGCUUGUUGGUGGGGUAGUGGCUUACCAAGGCUUUGACGGGUAGCCGGCCUGAGAGGGUGACCGGCCACAUUGGGACUGAGAUACGGCCCAGACUCCUACGGGAGGCAGCAGUGGGGAAUAUUGCACAAUGGGCGGAAGCCUGAUGAUGCAACGCCGCGUGCGGGAUGACGGCCUUCGGGUUGUAAACCGCUUUCGCCUGUGACGAAGCGUGAGUGACGGUAAUGGGUAAAGAAGCACCGGCUAACUACGUG
rnacentral:rRNA from 1 species